rnacentral:lncRNA from 1 species
AUAGGGUUACAUGAAACUUGCAAUACUACAUGAAUUCAAAAUGCAGGAAAGUUUAUGUAGUAGCCUUUGGAUACAACACAGGAAAAACACAGGAAUUCGAAUCGAGAGAGACACACACAUAAACACACAUACAGGAAAGUUUUCAUAAGGUCCUCCAGAGACACACACAUAAACACACAUACAGGAAAGUUUUCAUAAGGUCCUUCAGAAUUCCUAUGGAUUCAUGCAUCCCAUAAGAAUUCCAAGGAAUUUAUAGGGUGCAAUCCUUUGUUCCAAAGGGUCACAUAGGAAAUUUUCAUAUAGGAUCGAAAUCCUUCAAAAUUCCUAUGGUUUUCCUUUGCUCCAAAGG